AUACUUACCUGGCGGGGAGAUACCAUGACAGAAGGUGGUUUCACCCAGGCGAGGCUUAACCAUUGCCCUCCGGUUAUGCUGACCCUGCGAAUUCCCCAAUGCGGGAAUCUGACUGCAUAAUUUGUGUUAUGGGGGACUGUCGAUUCGCUCUCCCCCC